rnacentral:rRNA from 1 species
GAUGAACGCUAGCUACAGGCUUAACACAUGCAAGUCGAGGGGCAGCAUAUCGAAAGCUUGCUUUUGAUGAUGGCGACCGGCGCACGGGUGAGUAACGCGUAUCCAACCUUCCCUAUACUAGAGGAUAGCCCGGCGUUUGUCGGAUUAAUACUCUAUGUUGUAUUUCGAGGACAUCUGAAUAAUACCAAAGGUUUACCGGUAUAGGUUUGGGACGCGCCUUUUUAGGUUGUUGGCGGGUUAACGGCCCACCAAGCCGAGGAUCACUAGCUGGUCUGAGAGGAUGGACAGCCACACUGAAACUGAGAUACGGUUCAGACUCCUACGGGAGGCAGCAGUGGGGAAUAUUGGACAAUGGGGCAACCCUGAUCCAGCGAUGCCGCGUGAGUGAGAGGUCUUAGGAUUGUAAGCUCUUUUGACAGGGAAGAUGAUGACGUACUGUAGAUAGCACCGGCUACUCUGUGCAGCAGCCGCGGUAUACAAGGUGCAGCGUUGUUCGAAUUAUUGGCCUAAAGGCGGUAGGGGUCCACAUUCAAUGUUAAAAACGCGUUAUCGGGGGGUGCUGUUUAUUUAUAUA